GGCAAUUUUUUCGGGCUUGGAGCUAGGUGCGGAUGCAAUGUGGCUCUCGAUAGCACCUUAUGGGUAGUUGUGUCCCAAAGGAAGGAUGAGAAUAGCUGCUGAAGUCCUAAAGAGCAAGCCUAACUCAAGCUGUUGGCACACAGGCAUUACACAGAAAGCUAGAAGUUGAAAUGGUGGAGUCCAACUUGCCUGGACCAGCUUUAUGGGUUCUGCUGGUAACGUUUUUAUCCAUGGAUGGCUUGCUUGGGUGCAGAUGUUGGAGACCUUUUAAAGGUAUGGAGAGUUGGUUUGACUACACUGUGUGGAGCAAGUUGGGGGGCAACUUUUGAAGAAGCAAAGGUUGGGAUUCAUGCUUGAAGAAAUGCAGGCAGACCUGCUAACCUAAAAACUAGAGUUUUUAAUGACCACAGCAAGCAAGCAUGCAGUUUCGCCCUUGAAAGGGUCUUUCCUCACCCAGGCUGUAGUGCGGUGGCCCUUUGAGGCUCACCACAGCCUCAAACUCCUGGGCUCAAAUGAUCCUUGGCCUCCCAGUGGACUUUGUAGACAGCCUGAUAUGGAGUCUCAAGAAGAUUAAAAAUGUCUCCAAUUUCAAUAAAUGGCUGCAAUCCAAAAAAAAAAAAAAAAAAACA